rnacentral:rRNA from 1 species
UUAAAAAGCUCGUAGUUGGAUCUCGGCGGUCUGAGGGCGGUUCGCUUGAUUGAGUGCUACUGCUCUAUAGGCCGUGGUUUUGCCAGAGGUCUCGGGGUGCUCUUAACCGAGUGUCCUGCGAUGCUGGCAGGUUUACUUUGAAAAAAUUAGAGUGCUCAAAGCAGGCUUUUACGCCUGAAUAUUCGUGCAUGAAAUAAUAGAAUAGGAAGUCGUUUCUAUUUUGUUGGUUUUCGGAAAUCGACUUAAUGAUUAAUAGGGACAGUCGGGGGCAUUUGUAUUCAAACGACAGAGGUGAAAUUCUUGGACCGUUUGAAGACAAACUACUGCGAAAGCAUUUGCCAAGAAUGUUUUCAUUAAUCAAGAACGAGAGUUAGAGGUUCGAAGGCGAUUAGAUACCGCCCUAGUUCUAACCAUAAACGAUGCCAGCUAGCGAUCUGCCGACGUUUUCUUUGUAGACUCGGCAGGAAGCUUCCUGGAAACCAAAGCAUUUGGGUUCCAGGG